rnacentral:rRNA from 1 species
GCCUACGGGGGGCAGCAGCGGGGAAUAUUGCACAAUGGGGGAAACCCUGAUGCAGCGACGCCGCGUGAGUGAAGAAGUAUUUCGGUAUGUAAAGCUCUAUCAGCAGGGAAGAAAAUGACAGUACCUGACCAAGAAGCCCCGGCUAACUACGUGCCAGCAGCCGCGGUAAUACGUAGGGGGCAAGCGUUAUCCGGAUUUACUGGGUGUAAAGGGAGCGCAGGCGGCGUGGCAAGUCAGAUGUGAAAACCCGGGGCCCAACCCCGGGAGUGCAUUUGAAACUGCCAUGCUGG